UCCAACUUAUCGCUGGCAGUCUCCUGAGAGUGCACCUUUCGGUUAGCAACACAGGACAAGGGUUGCGCUCGUUGCGGGACUUAACCCAACAUGUCACCACACGAGCUGACGACAGCCAUGCAGCACCUGUCUUCUGGUCGUAUUGCUACGAAAGCCGUAUCUCUACGGAUGUCCAGAGAUGUCAAACCCAGGUAAGGUUCUUCGCGUUGCUUCGAAUUAAACCACAUGAUCCACCGCUUGUGCGGGCCCCCGUCAAUUCCUUUGAGUUUUAGUCUUGCGACCGUACUUCCCAGGCGGGGUACUUAGUGCGUUAGCUCCGCUUCGGCGGGGGUCAAGACCCACCAAAGCUAGUACCCAUCGUUUACGGCGUGGACUAC
rnacentral:misc_RNA from 1 species